GGGGCUGACUGGUUUCGACAGGACGAGUCUUUGCGUGUAUAAGCAUGUAGGCUAAUGAGAAAACUAGCCUUAUAUCGAUUUCUCAAAACAACAAUCGGCGAAUCUAAUUACGCCAUGGCUGCCUAACUCUAGGAGUUAAGUAACCAUUGUCUUUGCUUAGUGUCUUUACUCUUCCGACACUAACAUCCGUUUGCCACGCAAACUCAUAGACAUCAACCCCGUAAGAGUUAAGCAAAGAUGAGUGCAACGGCAUCUAAGACGAAAAUUCAGUUGAUAAGGAAAAACCUUGGACGUUAUCGCCUAGUUCUUUCCCGACAAUUAAUAGGAUAACUAAACAUGUAGAAACCACGACGAACGCCGUAUCUGGACGUGGGUUCGACUCCCACCAGCUCCACAA
rfam:Bernardetia litoralis DSM 6794 chromosome, complete genome.